rnacentral:misc_RNA from 1 species
UCCGGCUUGACGCCGGCAGUCCCCCGACAGCCAUGCAGCACCUGUCACUGGUCCAGCCGAACUGAAGGGGUGAGUCUCCUCUCCCCGCGACCGGGAUGUCAAGGGCUGGUAAGGUUCUGCGCGUUGCUUCGAAUUGAACCACAUGCUCCACCGCUUGUGCGGGCCCCCGUCAAUUCCUUUGAGUUUUAAUCUUGCGACCGUACUCCCCAGGCGGGAUGCUUAAUGCGUUAGCUGCGCCACUGACGGGUAAACCCGCCAACGGCUAGCAUCCAUCGUUUACAGCGUGGACUAC